rnacentral:rRNA from 1 species
AUUGAACGCUGGCGGAAUGCUUUACACAUGCAAGUCGAACGGCAGCACGGACUUCGGUCUGGUGGCGAGUGGCGAACGGGUGAGUAAUGUAUCGGAACGUGCCCAGUCGUGGGGGAUAACGUAGUGAAAAUUACGCUAAUACCGCAUACGAUCUAUGGAUGAAAGCGGGGGAUCGCAAGACCUCGCGCGAUUGGAGCGGCCGAUAUCAGAUUAGGUAGUUGGUGGGGUAAAGGCCCACCAGGCCAACGAUCUGUAGCCGGUCUGAGAGGACGACCAGCCACACUGGAACUGAGACACGGUCCAGACUCCUACGGGAGGCAGCAGUGGGGAAUUUUGGACAAUGGGCGAAAGCCUGAUCCAGCCAUUCCGCGUGCAGGAUGAAGGCCCUCGGGUUGUAAACUGCUUUUGUACAGAACGAAAAGGUUUCUACUAAUACUAGGAGCUCAUGACGGUACGGUAAGAAUAAGCACCGGCUAACUACGUGCCAGCCGCCGCCGUAA